rnacentral:hammerhead_ribozyme from 1 species
AUUCAACUGACGAGUCUCAGGAAGGACGAAGCGCGCGACCUGGAU